UACGGUUCAGUAUCUAAGAGGUAUUCUCGCUGUUGACUUCCUCCAUCGCUGUUUGGAUAUCACCCGUUCAGAUGUCGCAAGCUGCGUAUAUACGAGACAUGAUGUCAGAUUCUGAACUCGAUCUCGCCGCCGGUCCCGGUGAAGUGUCGAGUUUUUACACAAAUCUCAACGUUUUUCUUACUGGUGGUGCCGGGUUUUUAGGAAAGCUUUUGAUAGAGAGGAUACUGCGGUCAUGCUCAGGCGUAAACAUGUUGUUUGUGCUCCUGCGAGCAAAGAAAGGAAAAAGCUCCGAAGACAGAUUUAAGGAACUUUUCGAGGACGUGGUUUUCGACCGACUAAAGAGAGAGAAGCCUGGAUUUGCUCAAAAAGUUAGAUUGAUCGAGGGAGACGUGGGGGAGAUCGGUUUGGGUUUGGCGCCGGAGCAAAGGGAACUGCUCCGAACCACGAACAUCGUGAUACACGGUGCAGCCACCGUACGAUUCGACGAAUCCGUGCGAAUUGCUACCAAGAUCAACGUCAGAGGCACCAAGGAGAUGCUGAUACUCGCCAAGGAAAUGCCAAAUCUUAGAGCAUUCGUGCACAUCUCAACAGCCUACUCGAACUGCGUUCGAGAGUCCAUCGAUGAAAUAUUCUACCCACCGCCAAUCGACUCGGACAAGUUACUCGAUCUCGUGGAGAUAUUGGAUGACGCCUCCCUCGAACACCUCAAGCCGGUACUCUUGGGUGAAUAUCCGAAUACGUACGUCUUCACCAAAGCGGUCGCCGAGGACGUCAUUCGCCGCAACAGUCAUAGUCUGCCAGUCUGCAUUGUCAGGCCGUCCAUAGUAAUCUCAACUUAUAAGGAACCCAUCGCUGGUUGGAUCGACAACGUCUACGGUGCCACCGGAGUAGUGCUCGGGGCUGCGAUUGGAUUAUUACGGACUCUUCACUGUGACCCGGAAGGCAUCGCCGACAUGAUUCCCGCAGACUUCGUAGUCAACAACAUCAUUGUCGCCGCAUGGGACAUCGCCGAAGCUCGAACCACGAAUGUCAAUAACGCGGAUAGUUCGAAGAUUCCGGAGACUGAUGAGCCUCCGAUCUACAACGUCGUAUCAUCGUGCCAGAAACCCUUCACGUGGGGUAAACUCAUGCGUCAUAUAGAAGAAUAUGGAUUAAAAGUUCCAACCAUGAUGUGUAUAUGGUACUACUGCUUCAAACUCAACAAGUAUGAAUCGGUUCACAAGAUAUACGUGAUCUUCCUCCACCUUCUUCCCGCUCUCAUUGUAGACAGUGUGGCCCGCAUUAUAGGACGCGAGCCCAUGUUAUGGAAAGCUUACAAGAAGAUUCACAAAUUCAGCGCCGUGAUUUCGUAUUUCGCGACGCAACAAUGGUGCUUCAGUAACAACGGUGUUUUGAGACUGUCGGCGAAAUUGAGCCCCGCCGAUCAGAACCAGUUUGAGGUGAACAUGGAAAAGUUCAGCUGGGAGGAAUUCAAUUAUCAUUACGCUCGUGGUUUACGGCUUUACAUUCUGAAAGACCCAUUCGACAGUCUACCUCAAGCAUCUGCUAGAUACGCAAGAUUACGAAUAGCUCACUACACUUUAAUAUCGGUGGUAUGUGGUUUUAUUUUCUGGCUUCUAUGGACUCUUGUUAAAUUUAUGGGCAUGUAGCAACUCCCACGAUGUACAUUAUAACUCAACAAUUGCUCAAUCAGAGCAUCUAAGAAUGUCAUAUUCAACAGGAAAGAAGCAAACGAAACUUGAGUACUAGAAAUGAAAGUACAUGAACGUAUUAAAAGUCGUGCGUAACCAAUGUGAAUACAAUAGAGCUGUCGGAGAAUUGAGAGCCUGCUGAUUAUCGUCACUCAAUGGAAUUUUAACGUUUAUUUUGCAAAUAUCUCAUUUCAAUCUUCCUACGCUGGAAGAAAGAAGUUGUUGAAUCAAAAAAGGAAAAAACGUUUCGAUGAAAUAAUGCGGCGUUCACGGGCGGCAGCACGAAUAUUUGGUUAUUACAACAAUAUGUAAGUUGCAGGAGCUAAAUGAAAAAUACGUCUGUUGACUAAAUUAUUGUUCAACACAAAUGCGAGGACGUACA